rnacentral:lncRNA from 13 species
UAUUAUACUGUAUAUUAUACUGUAUAUUAUGUAGUAUAAUUACAAAUAUAUUAUACAUAGUAUAAUAUAUAUUAUAUAUGUAGUAAAAGGGUUUUUUUUUUGUUAGAACAACUCAGCAAAAUAAAAUUCCUGUUUAUUGUUGGACAACAUUGUUUCACACAUACAUCAAACAGGCCAAAAAAAAAAUAAACAGCAACUUCAUAGACAAAAAAGGAAAAAAAGAAAAUCUUUUAAUCUUUGGCCUUUUAACCAUCUCAUACAAACCAACUACUUAUAGUACAGCUAAGUACAUACACAACAAAGGUACUGGAAUGCUCGGAAUACGAUUGUUUUUCUGUUGUCGUUUUCGCUUUUUUUUUACAAGGUUUUUUUUUUCUCCUUUGAGAUUAUAAUGAACAUGGUUACACCACAAGUAAAGUCGGAAGUAGGACAGAGAACGCUCCGAAGGCUGGUUUGGUUAUCCGAGAUCAUUAAAAAUGGCUGACCCUAACAAUAUGUACAAAAAUAUAAAAUGUAAAUAAAAAAUACAAACAAAUUUCCUUUUUAAAGUACUUUUAAGAAAAAAAGCAGGGCCUUGGAAGUUUUGGUUCUUUUUUCCUCCCCUGUUGCAAAUUCUCAUGGUUUGGGUUGGGUAGUGGAGAGCGCGUCGUUCGUCUGCGGGUGGCACUGCCCGCGUUGGGCGGGCGGGCGGGCCUCUCUACUCGAAGGUGACCACGUUUAGAUGCUGAGACGGGAAGUGGAGGGUGAAUAGGUCAUGGCGGCCCUUUUUUUUGUUUUUUAGUUUAACUUUUCCUUUUUUGCUGUCUAAUCAUCCUCGUCGGUCUUCUGCUUCUUGGUAUCGACAUCAUCAUCCUCAUCAUCUUCAGCUGCCCGCUUGCCGGUAGCAGACUCAGCUUCCUCAUCUUCAUCUACCUCGUUGUCAGCCUCCUGCUCCCCAUUUUCCUCAUUCGCAUUCCCAUUAGCAGGGGCGUCUCUUCCACAACUUCCUUCAAGUCCUUGGUGGUGAUUUCGGAGCUGGUGUCUACCGCUGUGUCUGACAUGGUGGGGCACGCCGGUGAUCCGAUGCGGAGGAUUAAAAAGAAAGCGAGAUUUCAAGGACUCUGGCGAUAAAGCUGCCGGAGUCUGCGACGGCGAAGGAGACGCCCGGCGGAGGCGGCUGCUGCGAGCAAGGAGUCGGACGAAGAACAAUGCAAAGAUGGCUUUUCAGAGCAGCCAGUGGUUAAAAGUUUUUUAUGUAUGUAGUAAAAGUAUAAAAACAUAAGGGAAUGAUUUUAGAUAUAUAAAUAUAUAUAGUAUUAUUUUACAUCUUAAAACUUUAUAUAGAUAUCAUACCAUAAACAUCCUUCUGCGACAUGAUUUUAUUGGUUACCAUUAUGAUUUUGAGAUUUAGCCAUGUUUGUUCAUUCUGAGCAUUUGGAAUACACCAGUAAACAAAGCAGACAAAGAUCCCUGCCUUCACUGAAAAGAGAUCAGGCUAGAAAAAAUGGAAAACAGGAUAGGGCAGGUGAGCUAGUGACCAUCAAGAGGA